UACGUAGGGUGCGAGCGUUAAUCGGAAUUCCUGGGCGUAAAGCGUGCGCAGGCGGUUUUGUAAGCCAGAUGUGAAAUCCCCGGGCUUAACGUGGGAAUGGCAUUUGGGACUGCAAGGCUGGAGUGUGGCAGAGGAGACUGGAAUUCCCGGUGUAGCAGUGAAAUGCGUAGAUAUCGGGAGGAAUACCGAUGGCGAAGGCAGGUCUCUGGGCUGACACUGACGCUCAUGCACGAAAGCGUGGGGAGCAAACAGG
rnacentral:rRNA from 1 species